ACUUACAAGAAGUGGAGCUCCGAAGGCCGAGGGGGAAGACGGGGCCAUGAUGCACCCAUGAUCGCCUACGAUGCCCUCCUCGCGGCAGGGAGCAGCUGGGCCGAGCUGUGCCACCGGGCCAUGUUCCACAGAGGGGAGAGCGGUGCCACAGGGACGAUCGCCGGCUGCCUGUUUGGCCUGCUGCACGGCCUGGACGCCGUGCCCCGGGGCCUGUACCAGGAGCUGCAGCACAGGGCCAGGCUGGAAGAGCUGGGCACCGCCCUGCACCGCCGGUCCUCAGAGGAGAAGUAAAGCGUGUCUGCGGCCCGGAAGGGCGCCCUGGGGUCCACACACACGCACACACACACGCGUGCACACACCCCCUUGAACCUCCCUGCCCCGGGAGCGGGGAGGAAUGGGGCUGUAACCGUGUGUUACCGCGUGCUGCAUGGAAUACGUUGUUUGUCCUACAAGAAUAUUUUUCCUGACCUCAGAGGAGCCUAGAGCUUUUCCAUUUCACUCUGGACCUGCUACGCGUGCCUCUGCAAAUACAGCCUGAAGACUGGUCUCCUGGACGGUGGUGUGCUUUACUCUGUUGCGAGACUAGUGAAUGCUGUCCGCUCUCUCACCCCAACAACGCUGGCUGCGAUGCUUCUCCUUCCGAGCACCUGGCUCCCUCUCUCCACCUCCUCCUCGCGGGUCUGGAAGGCUGGGGCGUCUGCCGCCUGCUCAGGCUUGGGGCGGCAGUGCUCAUGUGGAUCACCCACGCCACAGGCCUUCGGGAAGCAGGUUUUGCUGUGCUACAGCUCUGGAACCAGUCUUCGGAAAAACUCGCUGAGAAGGCCAGGAGCACAGGUCUCCGGGCACUGCCUGCCUGUGCCCUCGGGCCUCUCGUCACACUGCACUGAGGACCUGCAGGCUCCCCCGGGGAGGGCAGGAGGGGUCUGUCUGCCUAAACGACUUUGGCGACUCUGGCACGUCUGCUGUGCUGGGCCUGGGGCCGCACGGCUUGUGGCUGUAGUGUCGUUCUGUCCCACAAGCCCAAAGAGCAGCAAGACCCACAGAGACAUAGUGUCCAUGGAUGCACAGGCGCUGAGGAAGAGGCUCAGCCACACCAGCAGUGAGGCAGCCCGCGCCCUGCUGGCCAAUCUUCUGCUCUACGUCCUGGACCGAGCUGAAGGGCCUCCGAAGGCCAAGGACGGGGAGCAUAGAGCCAGCUGCCCCACCCUGCCCCAAGAGGCCAGCCGGCGGCCCACACGCUUCCAGCUUCUGCAGGCCAAGUUCAUGGGCCGGGGCCGGGAGCCCCCCCUGAAGAGGACCCGGGAGGUGGGCCGGCUGAUCUCCAGGGACAGGCAGGGGCCUGGCCGGAGCUUCGUGAACGCCACCAUCAGCAAACUGCUGGAGAAGGCCCAGGGGAGCACCAGCAGCCCCAGCCAGAGGCCUGCAGCCCGAGAGAAGCCCUGCUGGGGCAGCCCAGGUGGGAAGAGCACGGUGAAGAACAGCCUGAGGAAGUUCCUGGCUGCGGAGGAGAAGGAAGCACGCGAGCGCCUGCCCAGCCUGAGGCCUGGCUCCACCAGGGGCCCGCUGCUGAAGGUGGCUGGCAGAAGCACCGUUCUCGCCCAGCUUCGGGACAGGUUCGAGCAGAGUGGCGGCCUCCAGCCGGAGCCCACGGUGUUGCCAGUGCACAGGGAGGGCCGGAGGAGCCGGGCCCUGCGGAGGAGGAUACAGCGGCCAGAGCCCCGCGUGCUCCACACGGCCACCAUGGCCGCCAGCUGCACCAGGACACCCCCUGCCCGCUUUCUGGCCUGCACAGCUGAACCCCUGCCGGCCCUCAGCAUCGCCACUGUGGUGGGCAGCCCCCGAAGCUGGCUGUCCUGCUGCACCAAGAUCAGUCACUUGGAUGCCAGGCGUCAGGCCAGGACAGAGGCCAGCCUAUACCCCGGCGUGGGGCACGCAGAGCCUGGUGGGAAUGAAACCCCAAGACUGGGCAUCCUGAGCGGGGAUCCCAGAGGACAGUGGAAGCCUUCAGAGUCCUCUGUGCCCCAGGCCACGGCUCCGUGGGACCCCCACCUGGCCCUGAGCAUAGCAGGUGCUCCCCAGUCAGAAUCCCCUUGUGCUUCCGGCAAAGAUGGAGCCCUUCCAGGCCAUAUGCCCGCUGUGGCCCUGCUCCGUCCUGCCAGCCCCAGGGAUGCUAGGCCAGCUGGAGGUGACAGGACGGUGGAACCCACAGCAGCAGGGGCUGCAGGCCACAUCCCCGGGGUAGAGGAAGGCGCAGGGGAGGCCCCCCAAGUCCCCAUGACCAUGUGCGGCUCUGAGGAUGAGGCAGAGGGCACUCUUCUGGCCUCUUCGAGAGAGCUCCUCUUUGCCACCCAGGGGUGGCUACCCAAGCCUCAGCGGGAGGCCGAGCCCUGUGUGCCCCCAGCCCCUCCAGCUCCGCAGGCGUGGCAGCACACACAGCCAGGUGUGGGGUCCCCGCAGAUAACCGUGCGGCUCCCUGCUGUCCCCCGGAUGCCAGCCGUACGCACACCCCAGCGCAGCACACUGAGCCCCGGGGCCCGGGGCCCUCUGGUGUCACAGGGAGAGGCUGUGAUGGGAAGGGCGGCCCCUAGCCCUGUGGCAGCAGGCAGCAGGGACACCCAAGCCCUGGCAGGGCUCAGCAGGCCAGGCCAGGUGUCAGAGAGCUCCCUGUCCGCAGAGCCAGGACCUCAGGGAGCCCUGAGAGAUGCGGCGGGCAUGGACCACAACACCCCACAGACGGUCCUGACGCCAGAGCCCCCAAGAUCUACUGGAAAGGGAAACCCCUGCAGCCAGCCCAGGCCUUCAGGACCCACCGUCUCUGUGUACAGUGGCGAGAUCCAUGCCUUGCCAGAAUCGAAGGAAACUAAGAUGCUGAGUAAGGCCCCCUUGUCCCAUCACCCCACAGCGUGGAAAAGCCAUCCAGCGGGGAGCGCCCACGCUUCCCCUGCCCCUGCCUGCCUGCCAGGGCCGGGUCCCCAGGAGAGAGGUUCCUUGCUGGCAGUGCCCCAGGAUUGCAGACAGCCUGAGAGUCCUACCUCCUUGGACCAGAGCAUCUCCUGUGGCCAAGAAAAGCCCCCAGGGCUCCCGACAGAGCCGGCUCUGCCCCUGGGGAUGGCCCCAGGAAACCCCAGCACUGACUUGGGCAAGAACGGACCACCCUGGCAAGGUGAACAGCCCAAGACAGGCAUCCCAGCCUCCAGGGAGACAACAGCUGCAGGGAAGGCCCAGGGUCCCACAGCUCCACUUGCAGGUCCCCAGAAAACACUACCAGCUGACCCCCAGACAGCACCACAGGCUGAGGCCCAGGCCCUGGAAAGGAAGACAAUAGAACUGACUGCUUUGGAUGAGGAAGGAGGCAGAGCGCUGUCUGCAUGCCCCUGUGCCACUGCAGGAGGGGGGCUCCCCCGUGAACUGGCACCGAGCAGGCCCUCGAUGCACAGGAUAGGAGCCACAGAAGGGGACACUCUGGGCCAGGCCCAGCACCAGGCCCCCAUAAGGCCACCCCCUACCACGAAUCCGGAGGACACAGCUGAGCCCUGCCCUGCCCUUGUGGUGCCACGGCCGUGUGCUCCAAGCGACUUGGAAGUGAGCAGCCCUAGUGCAUCUGCAGAGGACGUCCGUUCCAUGGGAGGGAGUGCUCUGUGUAACAGCGUGAUGUCCCAGACACCGACUGCCAGGCACCCCCAGAGUUCCAAGGGCUGCAGCCUGGGCCAGCCAGAUCCAGCCCCUACGGAGGAAGCCCUGCCCACCCAGAGAGCCCCAGAGCUUGCUGCCCCUGGCCGGCAGGCAGAGCCCAGGGCUGUCCCCAAGGCCGAGAGCUCAGGCCCAGCCCCAGCCCCAGCAGGCAUGGGGCCCCCAGAGAGUCACCGUGGGCCUGUGCACUCACAGCAGAUAGGACAGUGGGAUAGUCCUGGAGCAAUGAUGACACCUGUGGGCCAGGAGGUGGGGGGGUGCGAGCCAGGGCCUUGGGCAGCUCUGGACCUGGCAGGGAUCGAGAAGCCAGCAACAAGGGAGAAGCUGGGAGCUGCCAGAGCCCGAGACCAGGAGCAUAUGCAGGGGCCCAGGGUCGGGCGGGGGAGCAGCCCGGCCCAGGGAGAUGGUACAUGGGCUGCAGUGACCCCAGCUGCACAGGCCCAGGGCUGGGCCAGGGGCACUGUGUCCCCAGCCACGGACCAGCCUGGCAGUGUGGCCAAGGGAGCACCCACUGUCAGCACCAGCAGGGACACCUCAGCACCAGCACCCAGCAUCAGCAGCCAGGGCAGCCCGAGCACCAGGCAUCCCACCCGAGGGGACCAGAGCACAGAAGCCUGUCCCCCAGAGCCCGUGGACGGCCCUGGCCUGCUCCCACCUGACGUGGGGAGCCACCAGGCCCCACAGGGCCCAGCCCAGGCAGGGGCCCCAGUCACCCCAGGGCCAGAGAGGGAGCGGUCAGAUUUGGAGCAGCACAGGAGGCUGGUGCACUUCGCCAAGUACAAAGCCCAGAGCUUCAGUGACCAGAGAGCCUUCGACCUGUCCUUUAGGCCCGUGGUCCUCGGGGCCAGCAACAUCUUGGAGGCACCCAAGUGAGAGCCCAGUUGGGACCCAGCACCUGGCCAGCAUGGGGGAGUCGUUCGAUGUUCCCUGCCUCCAGGUGCUCCUAGGAGCGAUGUCUGUGCUCAUCUUCCCCUCUCCCUUUCUCCCCCUGCCUGGGCUGACCUCAGGCUGCCUUGGGCUGACCCAGGGAGUGCAUCCUGCAUGGCGCUGUGCAGGUUCUUCAGCUUUGCGUUUUCCUCUUGGGACGAGGAAGGGGCCGGGCUGGGCCUGCUGCUGUUCGUGUCCCUUUGCUAUUCCAGGUCCGGGAGGGCACAGCUCAGUGCACGCCCACCCUCUCUGCACCCUUCAUGUACUUGGGACCUCUGCUCCCCACCUGCUCUCCAUCCCUGCAUGACCCAAGCCACAGGGAUGCCCCAGGUAGAGUCAGAGGCUCAGCAGGAUCUGGGCCUCGGUCAAGAACCUGCUGGUCCUUACCACAGACCACGGGAGAUGCCCAGCAAGCACAGGGAGUCACAACAGUGUCCACUGACUCCAGCUGCUGCUGCUCAGAAACUGGCGGUUAGGAGAGCCCCAUCGCCAGAGUCCUGUUGGGCUGUGGACUUCUUUGCUUAUGUUCCCGUCCUGGCUGCAGCCUGAGCUGCACGGAUUGAACUGUUUCCCAUUGUCUAGAGUAUUUGCUCUUGUGAGGAAGCGGUAAACAGAGUCACGGACCAUUGCCCAGCCUCCUAAUCAGGACCCACAAUUGAGCAACCAUGGGAAAGCUGGGGGGUCCAACUAUCUCUGUGGAAAAUUCGUUUCUGCUUUGUAAAGACCACAGAUGCCACUGAGCAAUCUUCCUUCCUUCCUUCCUUCCUUCCUUUUUUCCAGUACUAGGGAUGGAACCCAGGGUCUUGUGUUGAGCUGUGUUCCCAACCUUUUUUUGAAACUUUUUAUUUGUGGCAGAAUCUGACUAAGCCAUCAAAUUACCCAGGCUGGGCUCAAACUUGCAAUCCCUGCCUCAGCCUCCCAGAUGCUGGGAUUGCAGACGUGUGCCACCAUGCCUGGCUACAAUGGAGCCAUUUCUUCAGACACAUCUCAUCUCAGAGAAGCUUCUACACACACACUGUGACCUCCUUGGUUUUCCGAUUUGAAUACACACCCAGGGAAAGGCAUUUUCUAAGUCAGACUUUGAGAAGGCAUCUGGCAGGAGCAUCCUGUCCAGGUAAGGCCAGGACGGUGUGAGUAGACACUGGACCACACGCAGGUACUGUUGAGCUCUGAGUGCCACAGUGCUUUGUCCAGAAUGGCCCAUAUGUUUCCCCCUGUCUUCCCCUCUCCAGUCAGUUGAUUAAUUCAAAGUCUGGCUAAUGGAACGUCUAACCCACAAGGAGAGCUAGAACCAGGGCCAGGAGGGCGUUGGCAGGGUGUAUCAGUGCUCCCCAGCACUUCUCAGCCUCCACAGGGCGCCCGGCUCCCAGCCCCCUCAAGGCUCCCAAGGGUGGGGGUUUUGGGGUUCUGGCAGUGAGGUUGGUGUGUGUUAAAGUGACUGCACACAGGGCACCAGCAGCACAAGGGUCAGACCACCCUGUCCCCUGGAGCUCCAGGCAGGCACCUGUGGAGCUGCAGGCGCAGUGCCCCUGCCCAGGAAUUGCUCCUGGGUGGGGCUGGCUUCUGGUCCUGGCAGAGAAGCUGGGCAGCGCCCUGCCAGCUGUGCAUGCCUCAUGCUUGUUUUCUGUCUUUGCACUUUGAUCAGCAAGGACGGGAGGCAGUGGUGGGCAAGAAUGUGAAGACAGACAGAAGAGAUGAAGUCUCUGCCACAGGGCGCUUCCUCAGAACCAGGAGCAGGGCGACUUAGCAGGAAGUCUGGGAGGUAGGCCACUGCCAGGCGUUGGGGAGCAUGUGAGCGGACCCGCACCAAGGACAGCAGAGCAGGUGGCCGGGGCCGGAAGUCGCUGCCCCUCACUGCCAGAGCACCUCGGUGGCGCCAGGGGCCUCGUGUCCCGGGAAAGCUGGGCGCCAGCCCUUCGUGUGAGCCCGCUGGGAGCAGAGAUGCACUUCGAACUGGCUGUCACUGCUGUGGGGGCAGCCCGCGCUCCUGGGCGGGGUGCAGCAAGGGCUCAGCAUGGGUUUCAAGUGAGACUCAAAAUGCAAAGAGAGAAAGGCACGCUGCCUCCUCUUGUCUGUCCCUGAGGCUUCUGCCCAAUGCGGGAAUGGCUCCCCGCUGCUCCGGCCCCGGGCAGGCGUUCCUGAGGUGCUCGGCUACAGCGGACACGGGGCCAUGGGAAGCGGGGGCUGUAGCAGGCUCCUUGGCUCUGCGCGUCAGUGUCCCUGACGCAGCAGCACUCCCAGCCUUGAAGGCGCCCUUGCAAGCAUCCUGGCCAACUGCACUGUGGCCUUUUCACUGUGUGUCGGUCCGCAGCUAGGUAACCCUCCCUGCCUGCAUCCUUCAAGUGCAUAAGCAGCUGUAAAAUGGAUUGGUCAGAAAAAAGUAACUGCAUGUAUUUUUUGUAUUUUCUCUUUUGAAUUUUUACUAACUUUGUAGAGCUUGGAAUAGUUUUUUGGGGGAGGGUAUAUCCUUUUAUUGGUACAUUUUAGGUGUACAAUAUAAUGACAUUCAUCAUUGGAAAUUUGCACCUUUACAUAGUCUCUCUUGGUCCUUAUUUUUCCCCCUUCUCCUGUCCGCCCUUCAACCCCUCCAUCUCUCCCUAUUUACUGUCCUGGCCCGCGGGUAAGUCAAUGGAGACCCUAGAGCCCCGGGCAGGCGUUCCUGAGGUGCUCGGCUACAGCGGACACGGGGCCAUGGGAAGCGGGGGCUGUAGCAGGCUCCUUGGCUCUGCGCGUCAGUGUCCCUGACGCAGCAGCACUCCCAGCCUUGAAGGCGCCCUUGCAAGCAUCCUGGCCAACUGCACUGUGGCCUUUUCACUGUGUGUCGGUCCGCAGCUAGGUAACCCUCCCUGCCUGCAUCCUUCAAGUGCAUAAGCAGCUGUAAAAUGGAUUGGUCAGAAAAAAGUAACUGCAUGUAUUUUUUGUAUUUUCUCUUUUGAAUUUUUACUAACUUUGUAGAGCUUGGAAUAGUUUUUUGGGGGAGGGUAUAUCCUUUUAUUGGUACAUUUUAGGUGUACAAUAUAAUGACAUUCAUCAUUGGAAAUUUGCACCUUUACAUAGUCUCUCUUGGUCCUUAUUUUUCCCCCUUCUCCUGUCCGCCCUUCAACCCCUCCAUCUCUCCCUAUUUACUGUCCUGGCCCGCGGGUAAGUCAAUGGAGACCCUAGAGGGGGAGUGAGAAUGACAAGGGACAAGAGACACGAGAGAUGGAGACAAGACAGGUUUCUGAUCAAGUCUCGUUUAUUGCGGAAGCUGCUACAGCAUAUAUACCGUAGGGCUAGAGGGAAGGAGCAAGGGGAGGGUACUGGGGCUACUUCCUUGUUGCCGGGUAGACUUGUAGCAGGCCCAGACAUGCCCGUAAAAGGCACUCAAGAGUUCUAGCGGGGGGGGGCAAGGCCCCCCACAAUUUACCACGACUUAGUUUCCAUUUUUCCUUUUCUCAUAUGAAUUCCAUUCCCUGCUUUCCUUUCCCCUAGCCCUCCCACUUCCCCCUCCCCUUUGCCAAGCUGGGAAUACUUUUAAGGAAAGGGAAAUAAAGUCUAUUUUGUAUUGCAAAU
rnacentral:lncRNA from 1 species